rnacentral:rRNA from 1 species
UACGUAGGGUGCAAGCGUUAUCCGGAUUUAUUGGGCGUAAAGGGCUCGUAGGCGGUUCGUCGCGUCCGGUGUGAAAGUCCAUCGCUUAACGGUGGAUCCGCGCCGGGUACGAGCGGGCUUGAGUGCGGUAGGGGAGACUGGAAUUCCCGGCGUAACGGUGGAAUGUGUAGAUAUCGGGAAGAACACCAAUGGCGAAGGCAGGUCUCUGGGCCGUUACUGACGCUGAGGAGCGAAAGCGUGGGGAGCGAACAGG